AGGAAGGUGAAAGGGUUGUCAGCAAAAAAGAGGGUAUUGACUUUGCUAGAGAAUAUGGAUGCCUUUUCUUGGAAUGCAGUGCUAAAACUCGAGUCAAUGUGGAGCAAUGCUUUGAAGAGCUUGUAUUAAAGAUUUUGGAGACACCCAGUCUCUUGGCCGAGGGCUCAGCUGGGGUAAAAAGGAACAUCUUCAAACAGAAACCUCCACCAUAUGGUGCUGCCACUAGUAGUUGUUGCUCUUGGUGAUUGUUCUCUGAUGUUUCUCGCAAACACUCCCCCUCCAAAUAGUAUUUCAUUUAUACCUUUUCCCCUGCUUGAUCUAAAAUAUUCACAUGUAGUUCAAAAGAUAGUAAUGUCCAUAGUGACUUGUAUUCCCUUUUACAGAUCAUGAGUUACUUUUGUACCCCAUCUCCCAUUUACAACUACAUUCCCAUUCUCUCUGCAGAUCAUGGUUCUUAGUCACUGUUUUGCUCUGAAAUAAGAAGUGUGCCAUUCCAAUA